rnacentral:rRNA from 1 species
AUUGAACGCUGGCGGCAUGCCUUACACAUGCAAGUCGAACGGCAGCACGGGUGCUUGCACCUGGUGGCGAGUGGCGAACGGGUGAGUAAUACAUCGGAACAUGUCCUGUAGUGGGGGAUAGCCCGGCGAAAGCCGGAUUAAUACCGCAUACGAUCUACGGAUGAAAGCGGGGGACCUUCGGGCCUCGCGCGAUAGGGUUGGCCGAUGGCUGAUUAGCUAGUUGGUGGGGUAAAGGCCUACCAAGGCGACGAUCAGUAGCUGGUCUGAGAGGACGACCAGCCACACUGGGACUGGGCCACGGCCCAGACUCCUACGGGAGGCAGCAGUGGGGAAUUGUGGACAAUGGGCGAAAGCCUGAUCCAGCAAUGCCGCGUGUGUGAAGAAGGCCUUCGGGUUGUAAAGCACUUUUGUCCGGAAAGAAAUCCUUGGCCCUAAUACGGUCGGGGGAUGACGGUACCGGAAGAAGAAGCACCGGCUAACUACGUG